rnacentral:rRNA from 1 species
AUUGAACGCUAGCGGGAUGCUUUACACAUGCAAGUCGAACGGCAGCGCGGACUUCGGUCUGGCGGCGAGUGGCGAACGGGUGAGUAAUGUAUCGGAACGUGCCCAGUAGCGGGGGAUAACUACGCGAAAGCGUAGCUAAUACCGCAUACGCCCUACGGGGGAAAGCAGGGGAUCGUAAGACCUUGCACUAUUGGAGCGGCCGAUAUCGGAUUAGCUAGUUGGUGAGGUAACGGCUCACCAAGGCGACGAUCCGUAGCUGGUUUGAGAGGACGACCAGCCACACGGGGACUGAGACACGGCCCAGCCCCCGCCGGGAGGCAGCGGGGGGAAAUUUGGGAACAGGGGGGCAACCCUGCUCCAGCCAUCCCGCGGGUGCGAUGAAGGCCUGCGGGUUGUAAAGCCUUUUUGGCGGGAAAAAAACGUCGGGGGCUAAAACCCCGGGGAACGGCCGGGCCCUGCAAAAUAAGCACCGGCUACCUACGG